AGAGUUUGAUCCUGGCUCAGAACGUACGCUGGCGGCACGCCUAACACAUGCAGGUCGAACGCAGUAGCAAUACUGAGUGGCAAACGGGUGAGUAUAAUGUGGGAAUCUGCCUUUUGGUUUGGAAUAACACGGGGAAACUUGUGCUAAUACCGAAUAAGCCCUUACGGGGAAAGUUUUAAUGCCGAAAGAUGAGCCCGCACUUGAUUAGCUAGUUGGUAAGGUAAAAGCUUACCAAGGCAACGAUCAAUAGCUGUUCUUAGAGGAAGACCAGCCACAUUGGGACUGAGACACGGCCCAGACUCCUACGGGAGGCAGCAGUGGGGAAUCUUGCACAAUGGGGGAAACCCUGAUGCAGCGAUGCCGCGUGAGUGAAGAAGGCCUUUGGGUUGUAAAACUCUUUCGUCGGGGAAGAAAAUGACUGUACCCGAAUAAGAAGGUCCGGCUAACUUCGUGCCAGCAGCCGCGGUAAUACGAAGGGACCUAGCGUAGUUCGGAAUUACUGGGCUUAAAGAGCUCGUAGGUGGUUAAAAAAGUUGAUGGUGAAAUCCCAAGGCUCAACCUUGGAACUGCCAUCAAAACUUUUUAGCUAGAGUGUGAUAGAGGUAAGUGGAAUUUCUAGUGUAGAGGUGAAAUUCGUAGAUAUUAGAAAGAACACCAAAUGCGAAAGGCAACUUACUGGGUCAUCACUGACACUGAGGAGCGAAAGCAUGGGUAGCGAAGAGGAUUAGAUACCCUCGUAGUCCAUGCCGUAAACGAUGAGUGCUAGACGUUGGGAAAUAUAUUUUUCAGUGUCGCAGCGAAAGCAUUAAGCACUCCGCCCUGGGAGUACGACCGCAAGUAAAACUCAAUGAUGACGGGACCCGCACAGCAGUGAGCAUGUGGUUAUCGAAGAUACGCGCAGACUACACGCUGACAUGUCGUCCGCGAGACUAAGAGAAUAGUUCUCAGUCGCUGGACGAAAACACAGUGCUGCAUGGCUGUCCGUCAGCUCUGUCUUGGGAAGUGUUGGGAUUAGUCCGCACAGAGGCACACCCCUACUUUAUAUGGCCACACACACACUAUAUUUGGUCCUUAAAAACCUGCCCAGUGCUAACUCGCGGAAGAUAG
rnacentral:rRNA from 1 species